rnacentral:rRNA from 1 species
UACGGAGGGGGCUAGCGUUGUUCGGAAUUACUGGGCGUAAAGCGCGCGUAGGCGGACCUGCAAGUCGGGGGUGAAAGCCCGAGGCUCAACCUCGGAACUGCCUUCGAUACUGCGGGUCUCGAGUCCGGGAGAGGUGAGUGGAAUUCCUAGUGUAGAGGUGAAAUUCGUAGAUAUUCGCAAGAACACCAGUGGCGAAGGCGGCUCACUGGCCCGGUACUGACGCCGAGGUGCGAAAGCGUGGGGAGCAAACAGG